CCUACGGGAGGCAGCAGUGAGGGAUAUUGGUCAAUGGGGGAAACCCUGAACCAGCAACGCCGCGUGAGGGAUGACUGCCCUAUGGGUUGUAAACUUCUUUUAUAAAGGAAUAAAACGAGGCACGUGUGCCUUUUUGCAUGUACUUUAUGAAUAAGGAUCGGCUAACUCCGUGCCAGCAGCCGCGGUAAUACGGAGGAUCCGAGCGUUAUCCGGAUUUAUUGGGUUUAAAGGGAGCGUAGAUGGGUUGUUAAGUCAGUUGUGAAAGUUUGCGGCUCAACCGUAAAAUUGCAAUUGAUACUGGCAGUCUUGAGUACAGUUGAGGUAGGCGGAAUUCGUGGUGUAGCGGUGAAAUGCUUAGAUAUCACGAAGAACCCCGAUUGCGAAGGCAGCUUACUAAACUGUGACUGACAUUGAUGCUCGAAAGUGUGGGUAUCAAACAGGAUUAGAUACCCUGGUAGUC
rnacentral:rRNA from 1 species